UCUCCGCUUUAACCCUCUCUGACAACAUCUUGCUAGAAACGAACGUUAUGUGGUGGAGGAAAGGAAGGCUCUUGGCCGGUUUUCGAGGCCAUGGUGGUCAAAAUUGCUGAGAGGGAGGCAACACUUGAAAGCUACAUCAAGGACACCGGAGGAAGGACCAGAAGACCUGAGACCCAGACGACCCAAGCCCAACCCAAUAGUAUGCUUCACUGACAAAUGUUGAUGCUUCAUCAUCAAAUAGACCAAAGGUUUCAGAGAAGGCUGGUAGAGCUCUCUAUGAGUGUGAGCUGUGGGAGAUAACCAAGAACUGACAACCACCUAAAGAAGAGGUGGCGAUAAAGGCUCUCCAAGAGGAGGUUGUGAGUCUGAAGGCUUUUAUUCAACAAGGAGGCACUUAGAGGGAAUGCCUGGACCCUGAGAGGACUAAGACGAUAAUUGAGGCCACCCUGAAGCAGUUCCCAGGCCAGACACUCACUCCAAAUUGCUGGGCCAGGCAAUAAAUGCCAAAGUGACAGAACUGAGGUUCCAUAACAAAAACAAAGAUUUUCAA